ACAUGAUUUCGGGGGAUAGAACUCGUGCCAUUAGGUAUAUGUGGAAAACACCUUUACCUACUAAACCAUCUCGCUGUCCCCAAUUAAAUUGUAAUUAUGGCUUCUCUAGAAUAUAUUUAGUUUAGUAUUAGUAAUCAUCCAGGAGCUCACUAUAGCCUUUAAGCUAGUUAGGAUUUUUAAUUUGCUGGUGGAAAUACUUAAGUGGGUGGGUGGUAUAGCAUGAAAUCCUCCCUUGGCAUAUGGCCUGUACCUUGCUGAUAAGAAAACUGAGGACCGCUGGGUGGCGCCGGGAUACCUAAAGGUGCUUGUCUGUAGAAAGGAACGUUGUGACAGUCCAAGGCUCGGAGAUACGCUUCCAAUAUGCCUGGAAGGCCCCUGUGAAGAAACUGCGCGCAGGGAUCAAGAGCCUGCGGGGGUUGGGACUGUUGCUCGCGGCCACAGAGAUGCGGCAAGCGACUGGGUGGACGCCACGUGGGGCCACUAGGAGGUGGUUCCGGGAUCGCUCAUCCUGGAUCAUUGCCUUUCUCCAUCUGCACGCACGCAGGCCAAGCUGGACCACUCGGAGGUGCUGGAGCUGAUGGCGCGCACGAAUUGAGUUCUAGGCCAUAGGCAAGACCAAAGAGGAAAAGGAAAUCAACUUCUUCCUAGUUGAUAAAGACUGGAGGAAAAGCAACUGUUAAAACUGUGUUCAUAUGACCACACAUAGGAACUGUCAAGGAAGAUACCAAAGGACGAACUCUUCUUAAGGUAAAAGACAACAUAAAGAGACUACAAAGGUGUGUCACAUCCCCUGGAACUGGAGUUACAGAUGUUUGUGAGCCACCAUAUGGGUGAAGGAGUCGAACUCAGGUCCUCUAGAAGAGCAGCCAGUGCUCUGAACUGCUGCACCAUCUCCUGAGCCUCUAGUUUAAAUCCUUUGAGGAGCCUCCAAAUUGAUUUCAUAAUGGCUAUAUUAAUUUGUGCUCCCACCAGUGAGAAUAAGUGUUCCUGUUUCCCUACAUCUCCUCCAUUUAUUGUUAGUUUUCUUAAUGAUAGCCUUUCUGACUGGGAUGAGGUGGUAAAUAUCCUCCCAUAGAGCUAUUUUCACCUCCAUGUUUAUUGCUAUUCUACAUAGUAUAGCAAAGAUGUCUAUUAACAAAUGAGUGGAUAAUGAAAAUGUGGUACAUUUAUGGAGUGGACAUUCUUUAAAUUUUCAGGAGGAUGGCUGAACUUGGAAAGUUCAUUAAGUGAGAUACCCAAAAUUCAGAGAGAAAAGUUACAUCAUGCUCUCCUUCAUAUGUGGAUCCUAGCCUAUAAUCAAUCAAAAUAUCUCUCUCUCUCUCUCUCUCUCUCUCUCUCUCUCUCUNNNNNNNNNNNNNNNNNNNNGUGUGUGUGUGUGUGUGUGUGUGUGUGUGUGUGAGUGUGCAUGUGCAUAUGCUGUCAGUGUAUGCAUAGCAUCACCUUUAGAAAGGAAACCAAGAAAGGGUAAUGAUCAAUAAUAUGGAAUGAUGGAAUACAGGCAAAAGAACACAUGAGUGACGAAUGAGGCUAUAAUGCUAUUUUCUUUUCUAGUUUCAUCCCUGUUGUAGUUCUGUUUUUUUCCCCCAUUUUGUGGAGAAUAGGUAUACAAAAAUGUAAUGGAAUGUUAAUAGUUAAAACUCCAAGGGAAGUUCCAUGGCUUUAGAAUGGCUCUUAGAACUGUACAAAAGUUCAUUGAGAUGUACAGAGUUUAGACUGAGCAAAUGUUUGAGUGGCUACCUUAGUUGAGCUGUGUGAUAUCUUUAUUUGUGAGUUCAUUACAACACAGUGUUUUUGUUUAGUAAUAAAAUAAUUUUAAGAUUUCAU
ensembl:processed_transcript